ACGUGAUCUGAGUUCAGACCGGAGUAAUCCAGGUCAGUUUCUAUCUAUAAUGGAGCUCUCUCUAGUACGAAAGGACCGAAAAAGCAUGGCCAAUACUUUAAGCAAGCCAUAUUUAACAAUUUAUGAUUAAAACUAAAUAAAUAAUUAGCCCACUAUACCUCUCAAAAAAAGAGAA
rnacentral:rRNA from 1 species